GAGGGUAUAGCUCAACUGGUAGAGCACGUGCUUAGCAUGCACGAGGUCCUGGGUUCCAUCCCUAAGACUUCCU
rnacentral:tRNA from 1 species